AUCGCUUCUCGGCCUUUUGGCUAAGAUCAAGUGUAGUACAAGAGAAAUGGCUAAAACACCCUCUCUGACAUUAACUAAAAAGAAAAAUUUUGGUAGAGAUUUCUAAGAUCAUUCAUAAAUCAGUUUUGCAAAAUAAGUUUCAUUUGUGAUAUGCAU
rnacentral:snRNA from 1 species